rnacentral:rRNA from 1 species
ACGGAAGGUCCAGGCGUUAUCCGGAUUUAUUGGGUUUAAAGGGAGCGUAGGCCGCUUGGUAAGCGGGCAGUGAAAUGCAGAGGCUCAACCUCUGACUUGCUGUUCGAACUGCCGGGCUUGAGUACGCACGAGGUAGGCGGAAUUUGUGGUGGAGCGGUGAACUGCUUGGAGAUCACAAAGAACCCCAAAUGCGAAGUCAGCUUAGCGGAGCGCAACUGACAAUGGAGCUCGAAAGUGCGGGUAUGGAAGAG